rnacentral:rRNA from 1 species
CCUACGGGAGGCAGCAGUGAGGAAUAUUGGUCAAUGGGCGGAAGCCUGAACCAGCCAAGUAGCGUGCAGGAUGACGGCCCUAAGGGUUGUAAACUGCUUUUAUACGGGAAUAACGCGCCUUACAUGUAGGGCUUUGCAUGUACCGUAUGAAUAAGGACGGGCUAAUUCCGUGCCAGCAGCCUCGGUAAUACGGAAGGUCCGGGCGUUAGCCGGAUUUAGUGGGUUUAAAGGGAGCGUAGGCCGCAUGUCAAGCGUGCUGUGAAAUGUGCGGGCUCAACCCGGGCCUUGCAGUGGGCACUGGCGUGCUUGAGUCCGCGGAAAGCAGGCGGAAUUCGUCGUGUAGCGGUGAAAUGCUUAGAUAUGACGAAGAACCCCGAUUGCGAAGGCAGCUCGCUGCAGCGGAACUGACGCUGAUGCUCGAAAGCGCGGGUAUCGAACAGGAUUAGAUACCCGAGUAGUC